rnacentral:rRNA from 1 species
CCUACGGGUGGCAGCAGUGGGGAAUAUUGCACAAUGGGGGAAACCCUGAUGCAGCAACGCCGCGUGGGUGAAGGAGCGUUUCGGCGCGUAAAGCCCUGUCAGCGGGGAAGAAGAAAGACGGUAGUCGACCCUGCAGCCCCGGCCAAAUACGUGCCAGCAGGCGCGGUAAGACGUAGGGGGCGAGCGUGAUCCGGAAUUACGGGGGGUAAAGGGAGCGGAGUCGGCGGGGUAAGCCUGAAGUGGAAGCCCGUGGCUCCACCGCGGAACUGCUUUGGGAACUGUUUUGCUGGAGUAUGGGAGGGGUAAGCGGAAUUCCUGGUGUAGCGGUGAAAUGCGUAGAUAUCAGGAGGAACACCGGUGGCGAAGGCGGCUUACUGGACCAUAACUGACGUUGAGGCUCGAAAGCGUGGGGAGCGAACAGGAUUAGAUACCCUAGUAGUC